GCAGCCGCCACCGCCGCAGCUUCUUCCCAUCGGACUAAUAACUCCUCUCCCCCUCCCUCUGUCAUCCUCCUCCAAAACAAAACCGCGCGCAGCACGCACACAAACGUGUAGGGGAGUCAGCAGCACCUCGCUUAGGCGUAGGGCUGGUUCCUGCAACUUCUAGCCCCGGCUCUGAUGUGAGUCAGAGUGAGGUUCCCUUUCGAGGGGUGGGAGUGUGGCAUUUGCUUGUUAGCGAGGGGUGCAGUGGUUGCAGCUCAGGGCUGAUUUGAUUUCUCUUCCCCCUCGCCCCCCCGGCACUCCCUUUGAAUGGGGCUGGAAAGUUGCGAAGCGGGCUGGGUGGCAUGAGAAAGUUUAAACACAAAGCGAGGAGAGAUCCUUUGUUCUGCUGGGGGGACCUUUGGAGAGGGUGGCUGAGCCAGACACGUCCAGGUCAGAAGCGAUCGACAGCAAUUAGUCUUUCCCGUCAAACGCCCCCCUCCACCCAAAGGAGCCAGGCGCUGGGAGGAGGAAAGCGGAAGGUGCAUCAAUCACACCAAGGUAAAGUGUGAUUGUCAGAGAAGCAUGAUGGCUGCCAAAACACCUUACAGCAAUAGGUGCCAUAUUGCAUUUGCUCUUCAAAUGGUGGAAUACAGCUGCGGAUACUUUAGUGGGGAUUAACAGAGUGCAAACUAAAGACAUCAAACAUCAUCAUUUGGAUUUAUACAUCUAUUAAUAAACUGAUAAAACUGGUGGUAGUGGCUCUUGAAGAAAUCAGAAAAUAUGGAAGGUGCUGUUGAAAAUGGUCUGGAGGUCGUUUUGACAAUGAUAUUCUACAAUUAAAAUAAGGGAAUUGGCCAUAUCUCUUCCUUUUGCCUGGUUGCUGAAGCAUUGUCACAGGACAGCAAGGAUUGAUGAAUAUUCUUCAGUAUAGGUUCAAAGCAAGAAAUUUGAGAAUCUAGAGGAGCCAAACAAAGAUAAAUAGUGAGCCAAUUUUCCAAACUG